rnacentral:rRNA from 1 species
GAUGAACGCUGGCGGCGUGCUUAACACAUGCAAGUCGAACGAAGCACCUUAUUCUGAUUUCUUCGGAAUGAAAAAUUUGGUGACUGAGUGGCGGACGGGUGAGUAACGCGUGGGUAACCCGCCUCGUACAGGGGGAUAACAGUUAGAAAUGACUGCUAAUACCGCAUAAGACCACAGCACCGCAUGGUGCAGGGGUAAAAACUCCGGUGGUAUGAGAUAGACCCGCGUCUGAGUAGGUAGUUGGUGGGGUAACGGCCUACCAAGCCGACGAUCAGUAGCCGACCGGAGAGGGUGACCGGCCACCUUGUGACUGGGACACGGCCCAAACUCCUACGGGAGGCAGCAGUGGGGAAUAUUGCACAAUGGGGGAAACCCUGAUGCAGCGACGCCGCGUGAGCGAUGAAGUAUUGCGGUAUGUAAAGCUCUAUCAGCAGGGAAGAAAAUGGCGGUACCUGACUAAGAAGCACCGACUAAAUACGUGCCAGCAGCCGCGGUAA